rnacentral:rRNA from 1 species
GACGAACGCUGGCGGCGUGCCUAAUACAUGCAAGUUGAGCGCUGAAGGUUGGUACUUGUACCAACUGGAUGAGCAGCGAACGGGUGAGUAACGCGUGGGGAAUCUGCCUUUGAGCGGGGGACAACAUUUGGAAACGAAUGCUAAUACCGCAUAAAAACUUUAAACACAAGUUUUAAGUUUGAAAGAUGCAAUUGCAUCACUCAAAGACGAUCCCGCGUUGUAUUAGCUAGUUGGUGAGGUAAAGGCUCACCAAGGCGAUGAUACAUAGCCGACCUGAGAGGGUGAUCGGCCACAUUGGGACUGAGACACGGCCCAAACUCCUACGGGAGGCAGCAGUAGGGAAUCUUCGGCAAUGGACGAAAGUCUGACCGAGCAACGCCGCGUGAGUGAAGAAGGGUUUCGGAUCGUAAAACUCUGUUGGUAGAGAAGAACGUUGGUGAGAGUGGAAAGCUCAUCAAGUGACGGUAACUACCCAGAAAGGGACGGCUAACUACGUG